CGUGUAGGCGGUUAUCCAAGUCGGGUGUGAAAGCCUUGAGCUUAACUCAAGAAAUGCACUCGGUACUGGAUGACUAGAGGACCGGAGAGGAUAGUGGAAUUCCCAGUGUAGUGGUGAAAUACGUAGAGAUUGGGAAGAACACCAGUGGCGAAGGCGGCUAUCUGGACGGUUUCUGACGCUAAGACGCGAAAGCGUGGGGAGCAAACA
rnacentral:rRNA from 1 species